AACGAACGCUGGCGGCAUGCCUAACACAUGCAAGUCGAACGAGACCUUCGGGUCUAGUGGCGCACGGGUGCGUAACGCGUGGGAACCUGCCCUUAGGUUCGGAAUAACUCCCCGACAGGGGUGCUAAUACCGGAUAAUGUCUUCGGACCAAAGAUUUAUCGCCUUUGGAUGGGCCCGCGUUGGAUUAGCUAGUUGGUAGGGUAAAAGCCUACCAAGGCGACGAUCCAUAGCUGGUCUGAGAGGAUGAUCAGCCACACUGGGACUGAGACACGGCCCAGACUCCUACGGGAGGCAGCAGUGGGGAAUAUUGGACAAUGGGCGAAAGCCUGAUCCAGCACUGCCGCGUGAGUGAUGAAGGCCUUAGGGUUGUAAAGCUCUUUUACCCGGGAUGAUAAUGACAGUACCGGGAGAAUAAGCUCCGGCUAACUCCGUG
rnacentral:rRNA from 1 species